rnacentral:rRNA from 1 species
UUUUUAACACAUGCAAGUCGAGUGCGCGGUUGUAGCAAUACAACUGGCGCACGGCGCACGGGUGCGUAACACGUGGGCAAUCUGCCCUUCGAUGGGGAAUAACUCCGGGAAACCGAAGCUAAUUCCGCAUAACAUUCCUUGGACCUCGGUUCGAGGACUCAAAGCCGUAAGGCGUCGAAGGAGGAGCCCGCGCACGAUUAGCUAGUUGGUAGGGUAACGGCCUACCAAGGCUUUGAUCGUUAGCUGGUCUGAGAGGAUGG